AUCGUAAUUGAAGAGGUUUGGAAAGACCCACCACAGAAGGUAAUAGUCCUGUAUGUUAAACGAGAAGACUUUAGAUAUGAUCCAGAGUACCACGGGACACGUGAAACCCUGUGGGAAGCAGGAGGGACCACCCUCCAAGGCUAAAUACUACCUAGUGACCGAUAGCGUAUAGUACCGUGAGGGAAAGGUGAAAAGAACCCCGGGAGGGGAGUGAAAUAGAACCUGAAACCCUGCACUUACAAGCUGUGGAAGCACAUUUCUUGUGUGACCGCGUACUUUUUGUAGAACGGGCCAACGAGUUACGUUAAGUAGCAAGGUUAAGCACUUAAGGUGCGGAGCCGUAGCGAAAGCGAGUUUUAACUGAGCGUUCAGUUACUUGACGUAGACCCGAAACCGGGCGACCUACCCAUGAGCAGGAUGAAGCGAAAGUAAAAUUUCGUGGAGGUCCGAACCCACGAGCGUUGAAAAGCUCGGGGAUGACUUGUGGGUAGCGGUGAAAUUCCAAUCGAGCCCGGAGAUAGCUGGUUCUCCCCGAAAUAGCUUUAGGGCUAGCCUCAAGGUGAGAGAUACGGAGGUAGAGCACUGAAUGUCCUAGGGGGUAUUGCACCUACCGAAGACUAUCAAACUCCGAAUGCCGUCAUCUUAUACUUGGGAGUCAGACUGUGGGUGAUAAGAUUCAUAGUCGAAAGGGCAACAGCCCAGAUCGUCAGCUAAGGUCCCUAAAUGUAAGUUAAGUGGUAAAGGAUGUGGGAUUGCACAGACAACCAGGAUGUUGGCUUAGAAGCAGCCACUCAUUCAAAGAGUGCGUAAUAGCUCACUGGUCGAGUGAUCCUGCGCCGAAGAUUUCCGGGGCUAAAACUUACUACCGAAGCUACGGCAUCAGUAAUGAUGGGUAGGGGAGCUUCCCAUACGGGUUGAAGCAUGACCGUAAGGACAUGUGGACAGUAUGGGAGUGAGAAUGUUGGCAUGAGUAGCGAGAUGUGGGUGAGAAUCCCACAGGCCGUAAACCCAAGGUUUCCAGGGGAAGGUUCGUCCGCCCUGGGUUAGUCGGGACCUAAGCUGAGGCCGAAAGGCGUAGGUGAUGGACAACAGGUUGAUAUUCCUGUACUACCGAUAACCGUUUGAGAGAAGGGAUGACACAGUAGGAUAAGCUAAGCACACUGUUGGUUAUGUGUGCCCAAGCAUUGAGGCAGUCAAAGUAGGCAAAUCCGCUUUGAUAAUGCUGGGAUGUGAUGGGGAGCGAAAUUUAGUAGCGAAGUAGCUGAUUUCACACUGUCAAGAAAAGUCUCUAUCGAGGUUAAAGGUACCCGUACCGCAAACCGACACAGGUGGGUGAGGAGAGUAUCCUAAGGCCAGCGAGAGAACUGUUGUUAAGGAACUCGGCAAAAUGACCCCGUAACUUAGGGAUAAGGGGUGCCACCAUCAGGUGGCCGCAGAGAAUAGGCCCAAGCGACUGUUUACCAAAAACAUAGGUUUCUGCUAAGUCGCAAGACGAUGUAUAGGAGCUGACGCCUGCCCGGUGCUGGAAGGUUAAGGGGAUCUGUUAGAGCAAUCGAAGCAGUGAACUUAAGCCCCAGUAAACGGCGGCCGUAACUAUAACGGUCCUAAGGUAGCGAAAUUCCUUGUCGGGUAAGUUCCGACCCGCACGAAAGGCGUAACGAUUUGGGCACUGUCUCAACAACAGACUCGGUGAAAUUGUAAUUCCGGUGAAGAUGCCGGAUACCUGCGACAGGACGGAAAGACCCCAUGGAGCUUUACUGUAGCUUGACAUUGGGUCUUGGUACUACAUGUACAGGAUAGGUGGGAGGCUUUGAAACCAGGACGCCAGUUUUGGCGGAGCCAUCCUUGGGAUACCACCCUUGUAGUACUGGGACUCUAACCAUAGGCCAUGAAUCUGGUCUUGGGACACUGUCAGGUGGGCAGUUUGACUGGGGCGGUCGCCUCCCAAAAGGUAACGGAGGCGCUCAAAGGUUCUCUCAGUACGGUCGGAAAUCGUACGUAGAGUGUAAAGGCAAAAGAGAGCUUGAUUGCAAGACAUACAGGUCGAGCAAGGAUGAAAAUCGGACUUAGUGAUCCGGUGGUUCUGCGUGGAAGGGCCAUCGCUCAACGGAUAAAAGCUACCCUGGGGAUAACAGGCUUAUCUCCCCCAAGAGUCCACAUCGACGGGGAGGUUUGGCACCUCGAUGUCGGCUCAUCACAUCCUGGGGCUGUAGUAGGUCCCAAGGGUUGGGCUGUUCGCCCAUUAAAGUGGUACGCGAGCUGGGUUCAGAACGUCGUGAGACAGUUCGGUCCCUAUCCGUCGCAGGCGUAGGAAAUUUGAGAAGACCUGUCCUUAGUACGAGAGGACCGGGAUGGACGUACCUCUGGUGUACCAGUUGUCCUGCCAAGGGCAUGGCUGGGUAGCUAUGUACGGAAUGGAUAAGCGCUGAAAGCAUCUAAGCGCGAAGCCAACUUCAAGAUAAGAUUUCCCACCGCAAGGGUAAGACCCCAGAAAGACUAUCUGGUUGAUAGGUCGAAGGUGUAAGUGCAGCAAUGUAUUUAGCUUAUCGAUACUAAUAGGUCGAGGACUUGACCAA
rnacentral:rRNA from 1 species